AAAAGAGGCCAAAAUAUAAGAAAAUGAAACAGACCACUCCACUUGACUGUGCACAACCUUUAUCUUCAGGAGUAGGACCAUCAGGGAUGUCCAUGUUCUACAUUAAUGGCCUCCUGUCGCUUGUGGAAUGAACGAUUAGGAAAGUUGGCAGACAAGAAAAUGUCAUCAUGUCUGCAGGCGCGGGACUUCCCUCUCCAGUUGGAGGUCUGCACAGAAGCCUGCCGCAGUGCCCUCCAGGGCUGCUUUUGGGGGUCUGUCCACAGUGGGAGCAAGUAUUCCUGGAGCCCUGGGAUGCUAGUAGUGUGGCUUAGGCCAAGUUGAGAAGGCCAAUGUUGUAAUUCUUGGGCU